UACAGAGGCCUCGAGCGUUAGGCGGAAUCACUGGGCUUAAAGCGUGUGUAGGCGGACUUCUAAGUACCUUGUGAAAUCCCACGGCUCACCCGUGGAACUGCUCGGUAUACUGGUCGUCUUGAGCCUUCUAGGGGCGAGUGGAACAAAUGGUGGAGCGGUGAAAUGCGUAGAUAUCAUUUGGAACGUCAAUGAUGAAAACAACUCGCUGGGGAAGUGCUGACGCUGAGACACGAAAGCCAGGGGAGCGAACGGG
rnacentral:rRNA from 1 species